UUCAUUGCAUGUAAAAUAUAUCGGCAUGCGAUGACGUCACAUCCGGUUUCGCCGCGUCUUGUGGGAAAAUACCGGUUUGAAAUUAGCGCGAGGGUGGGGGCUUACCACGAGGCUCACCUGAGCAGAAGUUGUUUGCAGGCAUGAGAAAUCACAGUGAGAGCAACGCUUUUUCACCAUAUGUUAAUGUGAAGAGUGAACAGUAAAUGGUUAAUCUU